rnacentral:rRNA from 1 species
AGAGUUUGAUCAUGGCUCAGAUUGAACGCUGGCGGCAGGCCUAACACAUGCAAGUCGAACGGUAACAGGAAACAGCUUGCUGUUUCGCUGACGAGUGGCGGACGGGUGAGUAAUGUCUGGGAAACUGCCUGAUGGAGGGGGAUAACUACUGGAAACGGUAGCUAAUACCGCAUAACGUCGCAAGACCAAAGAGGGGGACCUUCGGGCCUCUUGCCAUCGGAUGUGCCCAGAUGGGAUUAGCUUGUUGGUGGGGUAACGGCUCACCAAGGCGACGAUCCCUAGCUGGUCUGAGAGGAUGACCAGCCACACUGGAACUGAGACACGGUCCAGACUCCUACGGGAGGCAGCAGUGGGGAAUAUUGCACAAUGGGCGCAAGCCUGAUGCAGCCAUGCCGCGUGUAUGAAGAAGGCCUUCGGGUUGUAAAGUACUUUCAGCGGGGAGGAAGGGAGUAAAGUUAAUACCUUUGCUCAUUGACGUUACCCGCAGAAGAAGCACCGGCUAACUCCGUGCCAGCAGCCGCGGUAAUACGGAGGGUGCAAGCGUUAAUCGGAAUUACUGGGCGUAAAGCGCACGCAGGCGGUUUGUUAAGUCAGAUGUGAAAUCCCCGGGCUCAACCUGGGAACUGCAUCUGAUACUGGCAAGCUUGAGUCUCGUAGAGGGGGGUAGAAUUCCAGGUGUAGCGGUGAAAUGCGUAGAGAUCUGGAGGAAUACCGGUGGCGAAGGCGGCCCCCUGGACGAAGACUGACGCUCAGGUGCGAAAGCGUGGGGAGCAAACAGGAUUAGAUACCCUGGUAGUCCACGCCGUAAACGAUGUCGACUUGGAGGUUGUGCCCUUGAGGCGUGGCUUCCGGAGCUAACGCGUUAAGUCGACCGCCUGGGGAGUACGGCCGCAAGGUUAAAACUCAAAUGAAUUGACGGGGGCCCGCACAAGCGGUGGAGCAUGUGGUUUAAUUCGAUGCAACGCGAAGAACCUUACCUGGUCUUGACAUCCACGGAAGUUUUCAGAGAUGAGAAUGUGCCUUCGGGAACCGUGAGACAGGUGCUGCAUGGCUGUCGUCAGCUCGUGUUGUGAAAUGUUGGGUUAAGUCCCGCAACGAGCGCAACCCUUAUCCUUUG